GGGGGUGGAGCUUGUGUGGAGGAUGGGAGGGCAGGCUCAGAUGGGAUUUUCUCAUCUACUGCUCCAGUUCACAUACUGCGAGGGAGAAGGAACUCAGUGAAUAUUGCCCUGGGUCCUGGUAAUUCCACCUACUGAAGACAACUGCCCCUUCUGCUCAUAUUUCCUGAGUCAACAUGGCCGUUCCUAACUUUGAAGAGACUUUAGACAUUCUUUGUUACAAUGAACCUAGAAGAAAGAAGAGAAAUAUUACAGCGACUGUGCCCGGGACUGUAAGGCGGAUAAGACCCAGCAGAAUAACUGCCAUGGAAGGAUGCUCCUCCUGCCAAUUGGCACUUAUCAAUGACAUCGAGGGAGAGGGACAGAGUGCCUAGGUAUGAGCCUUCAUCAAGUGGUAUGAAGGCCCUACCCCAACAGAAAGUGCUGAUGUGAUGAAAUGGUGCUUUGGACAAGACUUUUCCUCCAAGUUGGUCCUAUCCAGGGGUUGGCAAACAGGGUCCCUGGACAUCAUCCAUGUGGCAUACUCUUAUGAAUAAAGUUCUAUAGGACACAGA
rnacentral:lncRNA from 1 species